AACAAAUCCUUCGCAAGCUGAAAACAUGGACAGCCUAGAGCGCAGCCUUGGUUCAGCUUCUGACAUUCAGGUUGGCAGAGGGCCUGGCUCCAGCUGUCCCUGUGCCCUGUUUGCAAGGAUGUAUAGAAGGUCACUCACAGCCAGCCCCUUUCCCUGUUCUGAUAACAUCGGAGGGAGCUCCCCAGCUGAAAGGCAAUCUCCAGCAAAUCUCAGGCUGGCCAUCAGGCAAGAUCGGAGGACAAAGAGCGAUUGUUGAUGGAGUGCUCCGAUCCUGCAGAAAGGUCAAUCCCAAGCCUUCCUUUCUCCUCUCACCCUCCUGUACCUGAUGCCUCACAAAGGUCAACUCCAAUUUUUCCCAGACACUAAAGA
ensembl:lncRNA